rnacentral:rRNA from 1 species
GAUGAACGCUGGCGGCGUGCUUAACACAUGCAAGUCGAACGAGAAUCAACGGAUUGAGGAUUCGUCCAAAUGAAGUUGAGGAAAGUGGCGGACGGGUGAGUAACGCGUGAGGAACCUGCCUCGGAGUGGGGAAUAACAGUUGGAAACAGCUGCUAAUACCGCAUAAUGCAACGGAAUCGCAUGACUCUGUUGCCAAAGAUUUAUCGCUCUGAGAUGGCCUCGCGUCUGAUUAGCUAGUUGGUGAGGUAACGGCUCACCAAGGCGACGAUCAGUAGCCGGUCUGAGAGGAUGAACGGCCACAUUGGGACUGAGAUACGGCCCAG